rnacentral:rRNA from 1 species
UACGAAGGGGGCUAGCGUUGCUCGGAAUCACUGGGCGUAAAGGGCGCGUAGGCGGACUUUUAAGUCAGGGGUGAAAUCCUGAGGCUCAACCUCAGAACUGCCUUUGAUACUGAGGGUCUCGAGACCGGUAGAGGUAAGUGGAACUGCGAGUGUAGAGGUGAAAUUCGUAGAUAUUGGGAAGAACACCGGUGGCGAAGGCGGCUCACUGGCCCGAAACUGACGCUCAUGCACGACAGCGUGGGGAUCAAACAGG